rnacentral:rRNA from 1 species
GACGAACGCUGGCGGCGUGCUUAACACAUGCAAGUCGAACGGAAAGGCCCUGCUUUUGUGGGGUGCUUGAGUGGCGAACGGGUGAGUAACACGCGAGUAACCUGCCCUUGUCUUUGUGAUAACUUUAGGAAACUGGGGCUAAUACCGGAUAGGAUCUCCUGCUGCACGGUGGGGGUUGGAAAGUUUCGGCGGUGGGGGAUGGACUCGCGGCUUAUCAGCUUGUUUGUGUGGUAGGUGCUGACCAAGGCUUUGACGGGUAGGCGGCCUGGGAGGGUAGACGGCGACAUGAGGACUACGAUAGGCAGCAGACUCGUACGGGACGCAAUAGGCGGAAACAUUACGCAAUGAGCCGACGCCUGAUACGGAGACCCCGCGUGCGGAAUACCCUGCUUCGAGUUGUGAACCGCUUUCGCAUGUGACGAAGCGUGAGUGACGGUAAUGGAUAAGAAAGCAACGGCUAACUACGUG